AUGCAGGGCUGGGCUGAUGGAGCCCGCCGCCAUGUGCCGCCGACCCGGCGGAGCCGCACACCUGCACCGCCGCUGGCACCAGUGGCCCUUCCAUUCCUCAGCAGUCUCCCGGCCCUGCGCCCCGACCCGCGCCCUACAGGCCGCGGCCUCCUCUCUCCCUCAGGCCCCCACCACAGCAAGGCCGAGCCGCCCCAGCCGGAGCCAGCGGCCACUCGGCCCCGCCACCAGCGCAACGCAGCGGGACAGGGCCCAGCCACCUUCCCGGAGCCGCGGAGGCACCUGAUGGCAGCAAGCAUGACACAGCCAGACUCACCGCGCGUCCUACAAAAUGGCGUACCAAGACGAAAGGAAAGAGGCGGGGCCGCGGCCGCGCUUAACAGCGGGGCCUUGGCGGAGCUGCCCGAGCCGCGCCUGAGAGAAACGCCGGGGAGGCACUUGCUGCCUGACUGCGUGUGGUCCGGCCGCUGCAGGCCGUCCGGGGCCGCGGAUCUUGACGGGCAAGGAUGGAAACACAUCCUCAAGACUGGGGUGAAUGCGAGUGGCAGCGCCCAUCUUAACGUGAAGAUCUAAAACCCCAUGAAGGUCCCAGGUAGGUGCUCCACCCAUUAAUGUGCUCUGGAAAUCUACUACACCAUGGUAGACUGUGUUUUCCUCCCACUCUCUCUGGCUUGUAGGUAGGGCAAGACAGGGAAAGCAGCUUCUGUGAGAGCCAAUUCAAAAGUUGCUGGGGAAAGGAGCUUGAAAGGGAGGGCUCAUUAGAAGUCAGAGGAGUGGGGGCUAGAUAAACAUCACUUUGUUUUUCAGAGUGGAAAGUACCAUGCCAAAAAAAUAAAUAAACCCCAAACAUUUCCUGUCCCUAGGCUCCCACAGUCAGGAUUCUGGUAUCUUCUCUGGGAGAGUCCCAUUUUUUUUCUGACACUUCUCUGCAGCAUCUGGCCAACAGCUCUCUCUAAAGAAUAAACAUGCUGUGAUGAUUCUGCACAUGGGGUUGUCAGGAAUCCUUCACUGAAAUUUUAAUGCACAGUGGGAUCUGGCUCACUUCUAUGCUCAGAGGACCAAGUGAUACACAGAGAGAUCUGGAGUGUGACAUUCCAUUUGUGUUAGGUUAUUCAGCAGGGGUGUGGAAGGAAUUCAAAUUAAUGAGAGUUUGUAAAGGGCUCUGAGGUGAAAAAUGAAAAAUAUUCCCCUUCACUAGGGUGUAGGUCUCCUGUGUCUAACACGAUGCAUUCAGUGCACGAAGAAAGAUAGCUAAUUAGGACUGGAGCAAAAAUUUAACAGAAAUAACUGAGAAUAGGUAUUAAAUGAAGAGGAUUGAAAUCUGCAGUUCCUCUUGUGAUAACACUGCAAAACGAAGAGUCUAAAUUAAAAAUCAAGAUUGUGAAGUUAAUUGGCUACCCCAUCCCAUGGCAGAUCAGAAAGUUACUGACCAUAGCCAUCUGUGUCACCUCUUGAGUUGACCCUUUUGUUCUGCUCUUUGCUCUUUCCAAAGGAAUUGAGUUAUGUGGCAUCUCAAAGUCAUGCUUCUGCUCCCUUUCAUAAACUCUUUAGCUCCCUGAUGAUUCUAACAACUUUUUAUUUCUGAUUGUCCAACUCCUCAUCCACAAAACCCACUCUGUAAAUAUAAGCCUGAGCCUAGUUUCAUGGGAAUUAAAAUCAAUAAAAUUUGAGUCUAAGCAGCAAUUCACCUUCCAAAAAUGGCUGUACAGACAAACUCCUUAAAUGGGUCCGCUGUGGAAUCGCAGAGGUGCCUCUACAAGUGGCUGUACUGAGCUGCAUUGCCAGUGAGGCAUUCCAUGGAGAGAGGAAUGGGAAAUUCCUUUCUCAAAGACACAGCAUGUCUUUGAGAGAAAUACAAAGGCAAAAAGUAUAUAGACCAAGAACUGUGAUGGGGCCCACCACGUCACCCAUGGGGGUUAGUUUUUGUUACACAGGGGUCACAUAUAUAUUAAAAUGUUACUAGAUGCAGGUAGAUUGAUACUGAAGCCGAACAAAUGUCCUUUUUUUCCAUCAUUAUCUUUACUGCCACAGAAAAUCUGAAAUAUGAACAAGUUCUGUCAUUCAGCUGCAUAUUUGAGUAACACGGCAUUCUACUUGUAUAUGUAUGUCAGUGAAUACGGCAUUACUGACCAUGCAGAAGUCAUCACCAUCUUCCAAGUACUCUGUUGUGAAACUGACCAGCUUCUCAUGGGUACCAAAUAAUACAAUCAAUUUAUCAAACUUCAUUUUAAAACCAGUUAACGUUCCUUUCUUACCUUACUAAUGGAGUGGCUUCUCAGGAAGCUGGUUUCCCCAAUGCAGCAUUUUCUCAAACUACUUGUGGUAACACUUUUUUGAGGUCACCUGUCCCUGUGUAACCUCCCCUGAGUCCAACCCAUUGAGCUGUGUACAAGCAACUCCUCACCUUGUCAGCAUCAGCUCACUGUUUCUUUAGCUGUUUUCACUGCAUGCGAUUAGCCACAUUGGCUGACACAGCUGGUAAUUACAGACGCCUUUUGCUCCUUUGUCAUGGCGGAACUGAGCUACUAUGAGCAGUAAAUCUGCAUAAGAUGGGGAUUUUUGUGGGGUUUUUCUUUUGAUAACACUGUGAGUACAAGUACAGAAUUAGCAUUAAAGUAUAUUUUUAAAAAUCUUAUUUUUCACAAUCCCCCUUUAGCUUUUUGCUAGCCCUCUUGGGAGCUAUUCGCUACAGCUGAAGAAAUACCUGGCUUAAUGAUUAGGUACAUAGUGCUAUUUUCUCUUUAUUUGUUCAUGUCUAAUUUUACAUGUACUUCUAGCUGGAAGAACAACAAUGCGUGCCCUUUUUCUGUGAUUAUUUACACAGAAGAAUAUCCCCUUUGCACCUUCUGUCAUGGGUUCAGCAGCAGCAGUCAGUUUUUUCUCCUUCAUAGUAGCUGAUGCAGUGCUGUGUUUUUGACUUUCGGUCUGGGAACAGCGCUGAUAACACCGAUGUUUAUAGUUACGGCUUAGAAUGUUUUGAUUUGACCAAGGACCUUCUGAGUCUCAUGCUCUGCCAGGGAGGCGGGGAAGCCGGGGGGAAGCAGAGACAGGAUACCUGAUCCAAACUGACCAAAGAGGUUAUUCCAUGCCACAGCACGUCAUGCCCAGGAUGUAAAAAAAACUGAGGGCCGGAACCCGGGAGAGUUUUUGUUUUAGUUCACAGCUUGGUCGUCGGGUGGUGAGCAGUUCUAUCCUCUUCCCUUGUAUUUCUCUUGUUAUUAUUAUUAUUGGUGGAGGCGGCAGUGGUUUGUGUUGUACCUUGAUUGCUGGGCUGUUCUUGUCUCGACCCAUGGGAGUUGCGUUCUUUCGAUUCUUCUUCCCAUUCCUCCCCCCCCGCCCCCCGCCUUGUAGUGGGGGGGAAGAAAAACUCUUCCCUUGUAUUUUUCUCUUGUCAUUAUUAUUAUUGAUGGUAGCAGUGGUGGUUUGUGUUACACCUUAGUUGCUGGACUGUUCUUAUCUCAACCUGUGGGAGUUGCAUUCUUUCGAUUCUCCUUCCCAUCCCUCCAGGAGCGGAGGGAAGAAAGAGGGGGAAGUGAGUGAGUGAGCAAAACUGUGCGUGGCUGAGAAGCUUAAACCACGACACCUUCAUUUUACUAAACUAAAUAAUCCAGGCUCUUGGAGCCUCCAGACACAUGGCAGGCUCUGUGCGUUUGCUCCCAUUUUCACACAUCUCUCUUGGGUAUCAGUGACCAGAUUUGUACCCAGUAGCCCCCGUUAGCUUACUUAAUGUGCACCCAUUAUUUCUGAGAUGCUUCCUGUUAUUACUGAAAGUAUCACAAUCCACAAAACAUAAAGCUUCUGGGGUUGAUAUUUUGUUUGUUUUUUUUUUUCUUUUUGCUGGCUGUAGAUGUUUCAGUGCUUGUCCUUUACCUGCUAGCCAGGAACUAGGAGACAACUUUUUAAUCUUACACAGUCAGCAAUGGCAGGCCUCAGUGAUUUUGUUGGCACAAGGUCAGUUCUCACAUAUUGAUGAUUUUGCUCAGGUAAAACUUGAAGUGUCUUUAAAGAACUUUUGUCUAUAAGGAACAAACAGGACAGAACUGGCCUUUAAUCACUUCAAAAUAGAUUGGCCAAACCGAAACAAAUACACUCUAAGAAAAGCUGCAGGCUGGCAAGGGCCAGAUUUAGUUGACUUUUUCCUCAUCUGAUUUCAUGAGAUGGUUGAGUUCGAGAUCCUCAGGACAGUGAGAAGAGCGUGCACCAAGCUCACUGCCCUGGACUUAAAGAGAGCAGGCUUUGGCCUCUUCAGGAAAUUGCUUAGUAAGGUUCCAUGGGAUACAGCACUAGAGGGCAGGGGGGCCCAAGGCUGUUGGUUGAUAUUCAAGGAUCACCUCCUACAAGCUCAGGAGUGUUGCGUCCCAACUAGAACGAAGUGCUGCAGGAGGGCCAGGAGACCUCCUUGGAUGGAUGAGGAGCUGCUGAGGAAACUUCAAGGGAAAAAAGAAGCUUAUAAAAGGCAGAAGCAAGCACAGGCAGCCUGGGAAGAAUACAGGGAUGUUGUCCGGGAAGCUAGGGACCAGGUUAGGAAAGCUAAGGCCCAGUCAGAAUUAGACUUGGCUAGGGAUGUGAAAGGUAACAGAAAG
ensembl:lncRNA